UACGGAGGGUGCAAGCGUUGUUCGGAAUUAUUGGGCGUAAAGGGCGUGUAGGCGGUUUUCUAAGUCUGAUGUGAAAGCCCUCGGCUCACCCGAGGAUCUGCAUCUCAAACUGCCUGGCUUGAGUAUGGGAGAGGAUGAGGGAAUUCCUGGUGUAGCGGUGAAAUGCGUAGAUAUCAGGAGGAACACCGGUGGCGAAGGCGCUCAUCUGGCCCAAUACUGACGCUGAGGCGCGAAAGCUAGGGGAGCAAACGGG
rnacentral:rRNA from 1 species